GCCAUUACUGCCGCAGCCGGACCACAGACUGUCCCUUGCACCCAGGACUGGCUCAAAAAUCCCUUUGUCAAAAAAGUGUGCCCCAGACACUACCUAACUUUGCAUCCAGUGAAGGGACUGACUGUCUUCUCGCGGGUUCUCUUCUCUCAGGCAUCAGUGAAUGGCAGCAUUGAGGCUUCUAGAACUCUGUGCUCUUUCUAGUACCCUGGGCCAGAACCAGGGAGCUCUGGGUUCCGGGCGUACAUCUGGAAGGCUGGUGCUGGUGCCAGCUCCCAGCAGGUCAGUCUGUGUGGCUGCUGUGUGUGAAGGCUGCGUGCUGGGCACACGGGGGCACAGCGAUGGCCUAGUCCACGUUGAGGCUGUGAGGAGGACCAAGGACCCUGCAUCAGGGGAGUGGGGCAGAACCUGGUUACUUUCUAUCAACCUCAUUUCACAACUGUAAUGGCUGUUGGAGCAAGAAGCUAUACUUCCCAGACAUAGUGAAUAAAAGAAUAAAUGAAUGAAUAGGGUUGGUCCAGAUGUUUAAGGCUCUGAACAGCCCGAGAGGGGAGUUUGGACCUGAUCCUGUGGUCGCCAGUGGGAUGGAAGGUCUUGAGCUAGCCAAGAAAAUGCUCUUGAACUCUUCCAAGGCAGACGCUGCAGCCAGAGCCUUGGCCCCCUCCUGAGCUGGUAAAGGGGCACUCUCGCCCCCAGGACUGGCCUAAGGGACAAAACGCUGCAGGCACCUCGGGGAGCUUGCCAACCAGGCUUCCCUGGUGGUACAGGACUGAAAGAGGCACUCACUCUACUUUUCACAGCAUUCAAAGGCAGAGCUGUCAAAAGCUGGCCCCCAAAUGCUCGUAUUAUGUGGGAGAAAGUCUUGGGGAGAAAAUGAGGAAGGAGGGGAAUUAUGCAAUUGAAAACAUGUACGAAUCCAGACAGAAUAAUGAAGCACAGACACAAGAUUUUGCACUCAAUGGAAAUUGCAUUUAGCCAUGUUUUGUGGUUUGAGAAAAAGAGAGAGACUGACUCAGAGAGACAGAUGGAGACACACGGGGCGAGGAGAAAGAGAGGGGAAAAAAGAAGAGCCAGGGAUGCAAAGAGAGAGUCAACAGCAGCCAGAUGGAGUCCCACAGAGGAGAGGGAACAGUGGGGCCUGGGGCAACCGCUUCGUCACCGCCGACCCUGCUCAUCUCUCCUGACUUUGCCCCUGGGUCUGCAGAGGGUCGGUCCGCAAGUCCCAGGGCUGAAGCCAGUCCUGAUCUGAGCGAGAAGAAAACCAGGAG
rnacentral:lncRNA from 1 species